CGCAGCUAACGCUUUAAGCAUUCCGCCUGGGGAGUACGGCCGCAAGGUUAAAACUCAAAUGAAUUGACGGGGGCCCGCACAAGCGGUGGAGCAUGUGGUUUAAUUCGAUGCAACGCGAAGAACCUUACCAGCCCUUGACAUGUCCAGGACCGGUCGCAGAGAGAUGUGACCUUCUCUUCCGGAGCCUGGAGCACAGGUGCUGCAUGGCUGUCGUCAGCUCGUGUUGUGAAAUGUUGGGUUAAGUCCCGCAACGAGCGCAACCCCCGUCCUUUGUUGCUACCAUUUAGUUGAGCACUCAAAGGAGACUGCCAGUGAUAAACUGGAGGAAGGUGGGGAUGACGUCAAGUCAUCAUGGCCCUUACGACCAGGGCUACACACGUGCUACAAUGGCGGUGACAAUGGGAUGCUAAGGGGCGACCCUUCGCAAACCUCAAAAAGGCGUCGUAGUCCGGAUUGGAGUCUGCAACUCGACUCCAUGAAGUCGGAAUCGCUAGUAAUCGUAGAUCAGAAUGCUACGGUGAAUACGUUCCCGGGCCUUGUACACACCGCCCGUCACACCAUGGGAGUGGGUU
rnacentral:rRNA from 1 species